rnacentral:lncRNA from 1 species
AGAAACAGUCAGACUGAUUUCCCCGCUGGUAAUCUCCAUCCCCGCUCCCCAAGCAUCCUCGGCACUCUUAGAAAUACGCCUUUUGCUUCGUCUUUCCUUAUAAAUAAAAGGCGAUGAAUGUAUCAAACAAAUAGGAUGGAUUUGUUCUAAAGUACAUCAUGGGGCAGAAAUGGCCAGGUUCUGGGCUAAGUAGUUUCCAUUGGACAGGCUCCACCGGGGAGCUGAAGUCUGAGUGCCACCUCCCCCUCAGAACACCCCCCGCCAGGGGACAUGCUGAGCCCCUCCCUGAGCAUCGCCAGCACCAAGUGUGGUACCCAGCACUGGAGACUGUGCAGCGGUCCGUGACUCGCUGCAGCGGAGCAGGGACACGCGGUGCAGCUCACGCCUGACGUCCCAUCGCAUGGACUCACACCUCACCACAGCUCCACAACACCCAGAGUGCCUCCCAGGGAGGAGGAGCACCCCCGAAAAGCCGAGAGCCCAGGGGGCUUCAAGGAGAGGGCGUGUCGAACAUCCAUUUCUGUCACUGUAAUUGUUGCUGCAGGUUGCUUCUAGGUCUGAACUGUCUACAGCAAAGGAACCUAACAGCCAACAGGCAGAUGGACUUGGCACCGUCUUAAGACUAAAAGCAGAAUUAUCAGUAAAAAUGAGAAGCUGUUCGAUACUCAACUGAAAUUACACGUCAAAAUUACGCGCCCUGAAUGUAUUAUAUGAGAAUCAUGUCCUUAGAAAAGUCCUUCCUUAGAAAAACUAUGUGUCCUGAAUACCUGACAGGCAUCUUGAAAAUUAAGGUUCAAGUGUGAAGGCAGAAAUUUUUUUUAUCAUUGCGAACAACUGAAGCAUUACAAAUGAAUGGUACAAAUGUAAACAGAUAUAAAAUGAAACGAAUCCCUUUAAGCAGUGCCACUUCAGUAACAGCGCCGCCUUGGGAAGAUAACAUUGUCACCUGGUAACUCCUCUAUUAAGGAAAAGCAACGAAAUUGGUUAGGAUGACACAGAACUGCCGCGGCGGCGCUUAGAAGCAUUCGUGGGGAUGUGUAUACCUGCCCUCGGUACACGUGCUCGCCUCAUACCACAGACGUCUCUGUUUAAAUACCAAAUGCUCACAGUGUCUUACUAUCUUGCAAGGCAGAAAAAUGGCAUGUGAGAGCUGGCCUGGAAAACAGGGGACACGAAAAGGAACACACAGCCUUAUCUUCCCCGCGGGAGUGCACGUGCCCGGUGACCUCCUCUGACGCCAGGAAUUCCUCAUCCAGUGGACACUUCGACCUCCAGUGUCUCUUGAUUUCAAGGUUUUCCAAAAAGGUAUGACAGCCCAUCUCCCCGACCGAUGUCACAGAGACCUGACCUCCUCUCCCCAUCACGGCCUCCCAGCAGCUCUGCUUCUGCACACGGAACUGCACGAACGGAUGGGGUUCACGAGAGCCGGGGUCGGGGCAAAGCUGAGACGUGAGCCUCAAGUCUAGGAAGUGGCCCACGUCUAGAGGAGCCUCAGGGAUGCGAAGACCCCUGCAAAUGAGUCCUGGCUCGGAGGCUGGGCAGAGCCACAGUGGGAACUCACAGCGCAGGAAGCGUGGACUGUGGUUAACGAAGAAGCCGCUUCGGAACCGGUGCGUGAACUCUGGCAGGUGUGCCGCGGCAGCAUCCGGCCUUAAUACCGGGAUCCUGAGCGUGGGACGCGUGGGGACACGUGGGGACUGGACUGCCUCCUCAAUGUCUCUACAAACCGGCCUAUUCUCAAAUGAAAACCACCAAAAAUGCUCCUCUUACUGAUGGAUUUUGACCCAGGUGAAUUAUUUCUAGGAUAUUAUCUACAGCCACAGCUAGGAUUUUUACAAAAUCUUAUCAUUUAAGAGACAGUGAAACUUGUGACAAGAUCUCUUUCCUUUGAUUCUAUAACAGUCUUUUUCCAUCCUUAUUUUUACACAAUUAAUAAAGCAUUAGGUGAGAUGAGCUGGCAAAAUUCACCAAAACUGUAACAUUUUGAGCUACUAAACAAAAAAUAAUUGAUCAUCAGUUUCUUGAAUUAUACACAAAAGUUUCUUCCGGGGACGAGGGCGCUGUGGAAAUGGCUCAUUCUGAGCGCUCUUCCAUCACACGCAGUAGUUAGCAGUGGCGGAAAUCACUGUAUUAAAACGGGGAGGGGGGCGGCAUCCAUGACAGUGAAAAGGACACGGCUUCUCAAGGUCAUACACGGGCCAGGGACUGCUCUGCGGACAAGGCCCUACAAACUGAACAGUUACGGGAAUCGAAAACGACCAGCGCAUUCCUGAGUCUUUUAUCAGAUGAAUCUGCAAAAUGAUUCUAACAUCUGUCACCUACUCCUGCGUAUCCCUCCGAGCCAGGGAUGAUGGACGAUGAAGAGGAAAGAAAACAGGAUGCAGACGCACGUGUGUGGAAUUUUCAGCGUUUCACUCUCAUAAAAUUCAUAGCAGUGAGGGGUCUGCGUGUUCCUUGCACUCAGGUGAAAUAAUCACUGUUCCCUGCUUUAACUCAUGUACGUUCAGUCAAAAGCAGAAAGUCUCGGCACUUUCGGUCUGAACCGCGUUACGCUAACAUGUUUAGCAACGGUCCUCAGCGCUGUGCGGGGGCCUCUUUCGCGAGACGAGCUCGCCCAUCCUGCUAAGCUCUGAGCUUCGGUCGUUCACCGCCACCUGGAGAAACAUGCUUCCACCUUCGAAGCACCAUCCUGCCGUGUCGAGGCGAACAAGGACACAGAUGUAGGCCCUGCCAUCUGCUGCAGCAAGGAUCGCCCACAGACGUUCAAGGGCUGCUUCCUUCCCAGGAGUUCACUGCCACGUUGUUUACAGAAUUUCAGAGAGAGGGGCCUGCGAUCUGUCCGAAUGGAGCAUGUGCCCGGCACAGUGUGUCAGCAAGCAGUGGCAUUUCUGGAACAGCCUUGGGGCAAAGGCACACAGUGUGGACACAUGUGCGCUGCAGGAUGUGUCCUUUUGCAAGCCACCCGGGCUGAGAAGGCAGAUCUAAUGUAAUGAUACCGGGAAACAAAUUUUGGGGGCCAGCUCAUGAGAACGGGUUGCUCUGGGUUGGCAGUGGGGGCUUGCGGGAGUUUGAUGACCACGGAGCUCCGCGUGGGCGACGGAGAAGCAAUCCGCCCAGGCGUGUUUCGACUCUUACGACUGAGAGGCUGAGACCAGGCACCUGAGUUAGAGGCCGAGGCGGAGCACAGGGGCAGGGACGAGAGCCGGCUCACUCAGGAGCUGCAGAGAGGGGCAGCCUCCGGCGCUCAGAUGACACCCAAACGCCCACGAGGGGAGAAAGCGUAUGCACUGCCGACUCAUCGGGAAAAAGACGAUUUUUUCCCCUUUGACACUGAUUAGGAAGGGAGCAGAAAAAAAGAGCUGAUAAGCACCUAAAGGAAAGAGUUUUCGUGUCCAACGAUUUUUAUCAUAGAGACCAGCCGUGAGCGGUUUCCUGAGCACAGCCUGGAAGAGCCGGGAAGGAAAUUUAUAUGAAAAUACUGGUCUUUUUCCCAGAUGUUUCCCAUGUCUAGACAGUGAACAGAGAUGAAUAUCUGUAGUCUUACUUCAUGUACCAAAAAUCUCCUCCUUUUAAAAUGUCUGCCUAGACAUCCAGAGCGGGUGUGCCCUGGGAGUGACUGUCAAAGUAUGACUCAAACAAUAGGAAGCUAAGAUGAAUUCAUCCAUUUUCUGUGUUUUGUUUUUAUAGGGACAGCUGAUAGUUCCCUUGGUAUCAAGACUUCUCAAGAAGGGGGAAAAAUAAGAAACUGGGAAGAAAAACAGCUGACCCGAUUCCACGGCCUGAGCAGAAAGCCUCCUGUCAAGGGCUGUUUGUAAAAUUCAGCUUCAUCUGAAUUUUCCUGGGGCGUGAGGACAGUGCUGUUUCUAUUUCCAAGUCCUCACUGGGAGCGUAAUGGAAUUCCAGGGUGGAAAGAGACUUCGAGAAUUCGGCUGGUCCAGCCUUCAACUGCAGAGGCAGAGAUGGAGGCCCGGGGGUGGUUGUCGGUUGGGCAGAUAACCCCAUCAUGAGGCCAAGGAACGCUGUGGAAUUAUUCUGAAAAUGCAAGGCUGCCACACCCAGUCACAGCAGAGGUGCAGACUCACGGUCACCUGCGAAUGGGACAUCAGCCAACGUUUUAGAGUGUCCGCAGUUGCCUACGAGUGCAACGCUCCUCCCUCGACAGGCUGCCCCGACGGCUGCAGCGCCACGGGGCCCGCAGGGCAGGUGCCGGCGCGCGCUCGCCCUUCCCGGCCCGUCCUGACUGACGAGCCCCUGAACCCGUGACCCCGGGCGUCUAGCGUGUUUCUCCGCGUCCGCGCCGGCACCCUGCUGCCCGAUGGCUUUCGUCGAGCCCAGUCCCUGCCAUUCACCCACAGGGAGCCGUCGCGCUCCCGGGCGACGGCACACCUGCCUCUAGAUGCGGCCGCGUGUCCCCCGAGACUAGAGAACAAAGUGUGUGAGGAAGCGUCUCAAUGAUCACGCUCGGCCGGCCUCUCCGCCCCCCGCCCCCCAGGCACAGGUCGGUGAACCCCGGCCGGGCUGACACGACCCCGGGAACCCCGCCCUCUCCCUCCUCCACUCACGCAUCCCGUCCGCAACAUUUGAGGAUGAUGGCGUGACGCCUUCUGAUGUGUCUUUGCAUAAGCUGCGGUUUUAUUAACUUUCCUGCAGGACUCGCUAAAGAACGAAAACCACGCAAACCUCUCAGGUUUCGUCCGUCAUGUGCGGAUCGCUCUUGGGGUCUCACCUUGAUGGACUCAGAGCCGCCGCAGUGCGUUUUGCUCCAGGAGCAGGUAGGUGUGCAUGCCCCAGCUGUUUGCAGAUGGGCAGUGAGGGUGUCAAAAUUACGGAGCAGCCGGCACCUCCGCGUCCAGCAAUAACGCACCAUCACCGAGAAAGAAACCGACAGUCCCGCACUGGCUGCAGCGGGCCAGCCACCGACCCUCCGGACGGCGGCCCGAAACGCUGGGGAGCGCUGGCGGCGCCUGCUGGCCCUUCCUUCACACGGAGUUCUGAGUGUGGCCGGGACCGCAGUGACUCCUGAGCUAACUGCCUUGAGUCCGCAGCACAGACCUCAAGUGGGGGCCCUCUUUCUUCCCAUCGUUUAGACGGGGAGAAGGAGGAAGAGCAGAGCUGAGGUCCGUGGUACCCUCGCUGCUACCCACGCCACCCUCACUCCAGCCCGUGGGUCAGCCCCCCAGGGCUCAGCCCCCAGACUCCCCACUCCCCGCUCCGUCGCUUAACUGAAAACCUCCCCCCAAAGACCGCCUCCGAAGGAUUAUUUGAGAAAUACAAGUGGGCGCAAAGAAGACCCCAGGAGAUGCUUACGGAAACUACACAUUAAAAAGCACUCGACCUUAUUCCCAAAUGUCUAGUGAUGAUGCACCUUCACUUCCAGUCCGUUAGUUAAGCAUGAGAAAGUCUUCCCGACAAAGGUGACACAGAAACACUGCCCCAGUCCUCUCUCUUCCUUUCUGUUAUGUUAAAACGGUGGGAGAGCGCAGAAGGAAGUGUCUGGGAAGCCAGGGUAGUAACACCGUUCUAGAAGCUCUCUGAACAGAGACGUGUGUGAUGAUGUGUCCGUGUCUUCUCCCCCGGCGAGCCUGGUGUCAGGCCCUCGUGAGCGCUGAAGGGCAGCGUCCGAAGCUUUUUGCUCCCGAUGUGUCUGUGCCCAAAGCCAGGCGUUCUUGUGGUUCUGCUGCGGUCACCCUGGGGCUGCUUUUCACCUUGGCCAAGGGCGUUCCCUCCCCCUCUGCUCGGAUGGGGAUUCUGGUUCCUUGGCUCCUCGGUCCCGUGGCGUUCCCGCGCCAGGAUUACCUUUCCGUUGCAGGGAAGACACCUGCCAGAGCGCCCUGAGCAACAGCACUUGGCAGGUCAUGACUUUUUUUGAGAACUUGCAUGUCUGAAAAUGUCUUUAUUGUAGUGGUUCCUGAUUUAUCGUUGGCUAGGUAUGAAAUUCUCAAUUCCCGGAGCAUUUUAAAGGUUUUGUUCCACUGUCUCCUAGCUCGAGGCGCUGCUGGAGAGAAAGCCAGUGCCAAUCUAGUAGCUCAUUCUUUUUGUGGGAUCUGCUUUUCACCCUUGGAAACUCUUAGGCUUUUUCAGACUAACUCUGAGCUCACACCUAAGAGGGCCUCCACCUUCUUACGAAUCAUGUGUCACACGCGCGCUGACAAAGAGCUUCACGUUCUCAUUUGUGAAGCGUGUGAUGCAGCACGAUGGAAACUGCAUUUAAAUGGUGCCCCGUAACCCUGCUCCGUGAUGGGAUUGCCAGGGUUGUGUUCAGUGGAAUAAAAGCGUUACCAGGAUCUGUGGCCUCAGCCCCGUCACUGGAGGACUCCCGGAGCUUCUCAUCCUCAAUCCGCGGUCCUCGAGCAGCGUGUGCUGGGCCUUUCCCCAGCGUUGAACUCAUCACCCGUCUGCGCGAGGUUAUUCCUUUUAACUGGGAUUUUCGUCCUCUUACCCACCCACCUUGUGGUUUUUGAGACUCGAAGCUCACCUCCUGGAGGAAGCCUCCCUUGGCUCGUGCUUACAAGAGUGGGUGUUGAUAACCUGUUCCUGCCCCACACGUGCGCUGGGUCCCUGUCCCUGGUCAGAAUUAGCCACACCUUUUCAGAUGCUCAUAUUGAAAAGGUUCAGCAUCGAUUAAAACACUCCUCGUGCU